UCUGGUGACAAUAGCGAGGGGGAACCACCCGUUCCCAUACCGAACACGGCAGUUAAGCCCCUCAGCGCUGAUGGUACUGGUUGGGAGACCGGCUGGGAGAGUAGGUCGUUGCCAGAA
rnacentral:rRNA from 1 species